rnacentral:rRNA from 1 species
UCGUGUGUCGAUGAAGAGCGCAGCCAACUGUGUGAAUUAAUGCGAACUGCAUACUGCUUUGAACAUCGACAUCUUGAACGCAUAUUGCGGCCACGGGUUAGCCUGUGGCCACGCCUGUCCGAGGGUC